GUUGGAUGGGGAGCAUCGCUGCACAGCUAUUUUCAGGUCUCUCCAGAGAUGUUAGAUCGGGUUCAAGUCCAGGCUCUGGCUGGGCCACUCAAGGACAUUCAGAGACUUGUCCCAAAGACACUCCUGCGUUUGACUUGGCUGUGUGCUUAGGGUCGUUGUCCUGCUGGAAGGUGAACCUUCGCCCCAGUCUGAGGUCCUAAGCGCUCUGGAGCAGGUUUUCAUCAAAGAUCAAUUUCAAGUCAAAAAGCAAAGGGGCUGAAUACUUAUGUAAAUAAGGUAUUUCUUUUUUGUUUUCAUUUUGUCAUUAUGGGGGAUUGUGACGUCAUUGUGGGGUAUUGUGAGGUCAUUAUGGGGUAUUGUGAUGUCACUAUGGGGUAUUGUGUGUAUAUUGAUGUGUUUUUAUUUUUUAUUUAACCCAUUUUAGAAUAGGGCUGUAACGUAACAAAAUGUGGAAAAUGUCAAGCGGUCUGAGUACUUUCAGAAUGCACUGUAUGUAUUAUGUUAAUAAAUUACCCCGAGAAAUAGUAAUAAUAAUAAUAAACAUAUAUAUAUAUAUAUCCUAUAUAAAAAUAUUCCUCACAAAAGUAGCACACUGGACCUUUACUAGUCCUGUAUUAACGGACCGAUAUAGCCAUCUGUAGCUAGGUCAAAUUAUUGCAUCUUGUUAUUAUAUUUAGCUACCUGUUUUUUGUUAUAAAUACGAGUUUAAUCAUAUAUUCUCAAUUUACGCAAGGUUACUACUAAUAGGCUACCUUUGACUUCCUGCAAAGCAAUAGAUUUACUUCAACCACUGGAAACUGCACACGCCUGACGCGUCUAAUAUUCGCGGGAGGAUGAGCACGUCAAGUUCAGUUUUUAUAAAUGACUCGUGUGAAAACUGGCGCACUGAUGUUUUGGGAGAUAUUCUGUGGGUAUGCAACGUUUCUAAAUGAGUCACCUGCGUCUCAAUAUGACUGACUCCAAACUACAGAUAAUAAUACAAACAAAAACAAUCCACGGACACUCAGGCACGAAAAUGGCGUGAUGCUAAAAUGGGUCUCUCCUGUCUUGUAAUUCUAUAUCUAUGUUGUUGCUAGAAUUGUUUACUUGUAUCCAUAACAACAGAAGUUCAACAAUGAUUUAGAACUUCCGAUAUUGUGCUUCUUGGCUGGAGUUUGGGUAAGUACAAAACAUUACCGAGGAGAAGAAGGUCUUUAUUAGUUACUGUAUGAAGCUAUGCCAUUACCGAGAAGGUCUUUAUUAGUUACUGUAUGAAGCUAUGCCAUUACCGAGGAGAAGAAGGUCUUUAUUAGUUACUGUAUGAAGCUAUGCCAUUACCGAGAAGAAGGUCUUUAUUAGUUACUGUAUGAAGCUAUGCCAUUACCGAGAAGAAGGUCUUUAUUAGUUACUGUAUGAAGCUAUGCCAUUACCGAGAAGAAGAAGGUCUUUAUUAGUUACUGUAUGAAGCUAUGCCAUUACAGAGAAGGUCUUUAUUAGUUACUGUAUGAAGCUAUGCCAUUACCGAGAAGAAGGUCUUUAUUAGUUACUGUAUGAAGCUAUGCCAUUACCGAGAAGAAGAAGGUCUUUAUUAGUUACUGUAUGAAGCUAUGCCAUUACCGAGGAGAAGGUCUUUAUUAGUUACUGUAUGAAGCUAUGCCAUUACCGAGAAGGUCUUUAUUAGUUACUGUAUGAAGCUAUGCCAUUACCGAGAAGGUCUUUAUUAGUUACUGUAUGAAGCUAUGCCAUUACCGAGAAGGUCUUUAUUAGUUACUGUAUGAAGCUAUGCCAUUACCGAGGAGAAGGUCUUUAUUAGUUACUGUAUGAAGCUAUGCCAUUACCGAGGAGAAGAAGGUCUUUAUUAGUUACUGUAUGAAGCUAUGCCAUUACCGAGGAGAAGAAGGUCUUUAUUAGUUACUGUAUGAAGCUAUGCCAUUACCGAGAAGAAGGUCUUUAUUAGUUACUGUAUGAAGCUAUGCCAUUACCGAGGAGAAGAAGGUCUUUAUUAGUUACUGUAUGAAGCUAUGCCAUUACCGAGGAGAAGGUCUUUAUUAGUUACUGUAUGAAGCUAUGCCAUUACCGAGAAGAAGGUCUUUAUUAGUUACUGUAUGAAGCUAUGUCAUUACAGAGAAGAAGGUCUUUAUUAGUUACUGUAUGAAGCUAUGCCAUUACCCAGAAGAAGGUCUUUAUUAGUUACUGUAUGAAGCUAUGCCAUUACCCAGAAGAAGGUCUUUAUUAGUUACUGUAUGAAGCUAUGCCAUUACCGAGAAGGUCUUUAUUAGUUACUGUAUGAAGCUAUGCCAUUACCGAGAAGGUCUUUAUUAGUUACUGUAUGAAGCUAUGCCAUUACAGAGAAGGUCUUUAUUAGUUACUGUAUGAAGCUAUGCCAUUACCGAGAAGGUCUUUAUUAGUUACUGUAUGAAGCUAUGCCAUUACAGAGAAGGUCUUUAUUAGUUACUGUAUGAAGCUAUGCCAUUACCGAGGAGAAGGUCUUUAUUAGUUACUGUAUGAAGCUAUGCCAUUACAGAGAAGGUCUUUAUUAGUUACUGUAUGAAGCUAUGCCAUUACCGAGAAGGUCUUUAUUAGUUACUGUAUGAAGCUAUGCCAUUACAGAGAAGGUCUUUAUUAGUUACUGUAUGAAGCUAUGCCAUUACCGAGAAGGUCUUUAUUAGUUACUGUAUGAAGCUAUGCCAUUACAGAGAAGGUCUUUAUUAGUUACUGUAUGAAGCUAUGCCAUUACCGAGAAGGUCUUUAUUAGUUACUGUAUGAAGCUAUGCCAUUACAGAGAAGGUCUUUAUUAGUUACUGUAUGAAGCUAUGCCAUUACCGAGGAGAAGAAGGUCUUUAUUAGUUACUGUAUGAAGCUAUGCCAUUACCGAGGAGAAGAAGGUCUUUAUUAGUUACUGUAUGAAGCUAUGCCAUUACCGAGGAGAAGGUCUUUAUUAGUUACUGUAUGAAGCUAUGCCAUUACCGAGAAGAAGGUCUUUAUUAGUUACUGUAUGAAGCUAUGCCAUUACCGAGGAGAAGGUCUUUAUUAGUUACUGUAUGAAGCUAUGCCAUUACCGAGGAGGAGAAGGUCUUUAUUAGUUACUGUAUGAAGCUAUGCCAUUACAGAGGUCUUUAUUAGUUACUGUAUGAAGCUAUGCCAUUACCGAGAAGGUCUUUAUUAGUUACUGUAUGAAGCUAUGCCAUUACCGAGAAGGUCUUUAUUAGUUACUGUAUGAAGCUAUGCCAUUACCGAGAAGAAGGUCUUUAUUAGUUACUGUAUGAAGCUAUGCCAUUACCGAGAAGAAGGUCUUUAUUAGUUACUGUAUGAAGCUAUGCCAUUACGUUUUCUUCACAUGAUAACAUUUGGUUUAAUAAAUAAUUUCCUUAUAACGGCGUAUCUCAUAAUAAAAUGAAGGAUUUUAUGUUUGUCAACAAUGGUGGACUGUGUUUAGGCUACAAAUAGAAAAUAAAAUGAAUAAUCACAUUAUUCUUUAUUGCAUUGCAAUUUAUUUCAUGAAAAUGUCGGGAUGUUACUGUACAGAGAACCAGGUAACCUGGGCCCUGGUCUAAUGUAGUGCACUAUAUAGGGAAUAGGGUAUCAUUGGGCACUGGUCUAAUGUAGUGCACUAUAUAGGGAAUAGGUUAUCAUUGGGUCCUGGUCUAAUGUAGUGCACUAUAUAGGGAAUAGGUUAUCAUUGGGCCCUGGUCUAAUGUAGUGCACUAUAUAGGGAAUAGGUUAUCAUUGGGCCCUGGUCAAUAGUAGUACACUAUACAGGGAAUAGGGUACGAUUUGGGACUGAACCUUGAUAGAUAAAAUGAUAUGUUGUUUUCCAGGGGACUGGCCAGCAGUAUGUCUAAGAACCGGGACACAGCUGUGGUGACAGUAGGCUUCGGUCAGGGUAGUAAGGUGGAUAGUGUGCCCAUGGGCAGCCGGAUGACCCACAUCCCAGAGGCCUUGACUGGGCAGCGGGGUCCAGGCAAUCCCCAGUCUUCAGGCCCGAGGCAUGGGCGUCUGAUGCACCAGAGCACCCUGUCACUAGGGGACCCACAGGGAUCUGGGACCAGCUACACAACCACACACACUCAGAGUUACUGUGGGCGGGAGGCCGAUGGCCAACCUCUGCUCUUCUUUCCCCGAGAUCCCGCCUACCCCUCCCAGCACACCAGUCAGCUGAACCUGAGUCACACAUCCACCAGCCAAUCACAGACACACAGCAGAGACAUCCAUAACCCCAAAGACAUCAUCCCGUUCAAUGUUCUUCAUAGGCUGGGUCAGAGUAAUUGGUCUCGUAAUCGCGAGGGUGAGGCCAUGAGAGAGGUGACCAAUCCCAAGGAGCCCACCCCCUACUGGACGACCUAUCGCAGUGAGCACAGGAGUCCUAGCCCCUCUCCCUCACCACACGACCCCACUGGUAGACCCACACUGUGGCAUCAACAUGAUAUACUGACAGGUGAGACCAGGACUCCAGCAGGUCCAGGUAACCCUAGGAGACAGUCUGGAGAGAGAGUCCUGUGGGCAACACGACGCUGGGAGACGGACUGCUGUUCCCUCCGACUCUACUAAACACACAAUUCAACUGU